rnacentral:rRNA from 1 species
UACGUAGGGCGCAAGCGUUGUCCGGAAUUAUUGGGCGUAAAGAGCUCGUAGGCGGUUUGUCGCGUCUGUCGUGAAAGCUUGGGGCUUAACCCCAAGUCUGCGGUCGAUACGGGCAGGCUAGAGUUCGGUAGGGGAGACUGGAAUUCCUGGUGUAGCGGUGAAAUGCGCAGAUAUCAGGAGGAACACCGGUGGCGAAGGCGGGUCUCUGGGCCGAUACUGACGCUGAGGAGCGAAAGCGUGGGGAGCGAACAGG